rnacentral:rRNA from 1 species
GACGAACGCUGGCGGCGUGCUUAACACAUGCAAGUCGAACGGAAAGGCCCUGCUUUUGUGGGGUGCUCGAGUGGCGAACGGGUGAGUAACACGUGAGUAACCUGCCCUUGACUUUGGGAUAACUUCAGGAAACUGGGGCUAAUACCGGAUAGGAGCUCCUGCUGCAUGGUGGGGGUUGGAAAGUUUCGGCGGUUGGGGAUGGACUCGCGGCUUAUCAGCUUGUUGGUGGGGUAGUGGCUUACCAAGGCUUUGACGGGUAGCCGGCCUGAGAGGGUGACCGGCCACAUUGGGACUGAGAUACGGCCCAGACUCCUACGGGAGGCAGCAGGGGGGAAUAUUGCACAAUGGGCGGGAGCCUGAUGCAGCAACGCCGCGUGCGGGAUGACGGCCUUCGGGUUGUAAACCGCUGUCGCCUGUGACGAAGCGUGAGUGACGGUAAUGGGUAAAGAAGCACCGGCUAACUACGUG